rnacentral:lncRNA from 1 species
GAAGCAUCAGACACUGGGGGGCGCUUCUUGAACAGGCACUGGGCUAGACAGCCCAGACCUCGCGGAAACAAAGCGGGAAGGGGCCGCUCCUGGGGAGUUUUUCCCAGCUUCCCUGGGCCGGUGAGGGGUCCUGGCGUCCUGAACUGGAGAUGCUCCUUAGAGGGCACUGCUUCAGCCACCCCUGCCUUAGCAUACAUACGGGUCCCACAGGGGUCCUUCGACACCAGCUCAUCGUCUGGGUUCCACCAUCCACCCACGCACUCAUUUGGCAGCUAUCAACGGAGUAUUCACAGUACGCUGCUCACAGUUCUAACCGCGGAGGAUAGAGUUGAGGCCCACACGACAGCCCCUGCUCUCACAGAACUGAUGUCUCUAGAAGAGUCUUCCCUCAGUGAGAACGUUCUGAUUUCUAGAACAUUCUUUCUUCUGAUGAGUGAACAGCCUCACCGGAACUUCCCCAUCCUCCUGGCUUGGUUCCUGAAGUGGCCCAAGGCUGCCUUCUCCCUCCCGUGGGUGAACAGGGUCACUGCUUCCUCUCUUGUCCAGGCCCCCUGGCCUGACCCUGAGUCCCGGGCGUAACGGCGUUGUUGAACCACCACAACCCCAGGCGGCGCCUUCCUCUUGGCCCAGGGGCUCUCUUGGGGACAGUGUGCAGUACUCCCCAAGGGGGCUUUGCUGUGCAAAAGCAGCCCCUGCCGAUGCUGCGGCUCCCGUGGAUGGAGCACUGCCGUGGGAACAGAGUUGGAACUCAUCCAAAAGAAUAAAAGACAACUGUGUUGGAAGAUUGCCAAGGUUUGUAGCUGUGCCACCGCAGACUUCAGAGAUGAACACUGCCUUGGAGACGAGGAGGAUUCAAGUUGCAGAAGCAUUUAGAAACAGAUGUUGUUUUUGGUGAUGUAAGUUACCAGGGUUGGGGGUCUGAUCUGGAGGAACUGGGAGGCACACAGAUACACUCCAGGAUGGAAUGCAGGCAGAAAUCAUGACCUCCAUCCACCUUUAACUUUCCAAGGCCUGGCCCAUAAACCCUCCCUGUCAGGCUUCCUGGUACCUCUUCCCUGGCUGCUAGCUGGAUGCUGAGGCCCUGGGGUGCUGAGCCACUGGUGGAGUGAAGCCUGGGCCUGAAAGGCUGGGUGAAACAGAAGUCAUGGGAUGGGCAGAAGAUGCUGAUCUAGGCUGAUACCUGGCAAACCCUACCUUGUCCUGCCCCUGACACUGCAGAUCUGAGGACGCGCUGGGGGAGCCGAGCAUCCAGGUCAGUGAGUGGAGGGAAUUUUUGUCCAACGUGCACCUUGACAGAGCUUCACUGACCACGGGCGGUGUCUCCCUGCUGCCACGCAGCACACCUCUGACCACAGACCUCUCUCCAGAGCCACGUGUUUGCUUCUCACCUGACAGGCUCUGUGAGAGCCCAUCUGUGCUUCCCUGGGAUGUCUGACCGCACGCAUCCCCCACUGUGCAUGGGAGCCCUGCUGGGCCCGUAGGUGGAAUUAUUUCUCAGUUUUAAUCUGAGUACAUAAUUGAGGCUUGUGCCAGCAAGGACUCCCAUCGCUUUCUUUCCUCACACUCCACACGUAGUGCUGCUCAGUGAUUUUACUGUUCCUCUAGGAAUGGCUCCCACCUGCUUAGAGUAUAAGAUUUAUCUCCUUAGCACACCAUGGGAAGUCUCCUAAAAUCCAUCCACUGCUUAUCUCUUUGGCCUCAGCUCUUGGCCCCCUGUGAUGAAACCCUGAUCUCUAGUCAUGCAGAGGUGCUUGCAACUUUCUGAAAGCUCCUUUCAAAGGUGCCUUUGCCUUCUGUUCCCUAUCCCUUCAGGGUCCUUCCCGGCUAGCCACUGCUCCUGGCUAAGUUCUGAGAGGUUGCAUCCACCUCGCGGGAGUGUUGGCCAUUUUCUCCCUUCGAGGUCCUUAUUGUUGGCCUUUCUCUCUUUCCCUACUAGACUCUAAGCUCCCUUAGAGUGGGGCCUCUGUCUCACCCAUCUCUCUGUGGCCCCCAUCUAGUGUGCGGUCAAGGCUUGCUGAGAGCUGCCUUUUCAUGUGUAUUAUGACAAUUCAGCCCAAUGACAAGUGGCUCACUCCAUCUCCAACACGCUCCUGUCAACCUUCCUUUUCCCUGGGUCUCUUCAGUUUAACCUUUUGUGGGCAUACCAUCAUGCAUUAGUUGGAAUCAGAUUGAUACUGGAGGUGUUUUUGUUUUCCAGAAAUGUCUGGGGAAAGUGUGCCUGUGUACUUUUCAUGUAUGUCCGUCGGAGGAAAAGUUUUCAUCAUUCAUUUAUUCUUGUAUCGAUUGCACAAAAUUGCUUAAGAUUCUCCUCUGUGUGUGGUUCCAUGGGAGCUUGGACCACUUUACAUGAUGAAUAGGACAGAGUAGAGUCCCUUUUGGGAAACAGGCAUCUGUAAAAUGCUAUGGGUACAUAAAGAGCCACCUAAUGGAAAUGGGUCACAGCUGGCACUCCAAAGGAGGCAAUGUCUGAGCUGAAUUGGAAGGAAAAGCAGGCAUUUGCCAAUGAGAACUUGGAGGGUUCUCCAGGAGCAGGGCGUGCAGAGAGCCCAUUGAGUGGAGGCGUGUAGGGAGCCAUGGGGACUUUGGUUUAUCUUAAGAACAAUAUGUGUUUGUGUGUACAAGGGAGGGGGCAGAAUAAGGAAUGGCAGAUAAAGCUGAAGAAGUGAGUAGAGGCCAGAUCACAGGGUCCUGACUGUGUCCUGGAUAAACACGGGGAUGCUGGAGGUUUAAUCAGGGUCAU